CUGAACCUUAAAUAACACAAUUGAAAUCUCCGAAUUAAUCCCCAUUACAUUUCUGGAUAUUUUUUGUUUUAUCAUCAUUUAUCAAGUUGAUUAGAUUUAAACAAUCGGAGUAGAACAUGAUUUUAUGAAAUCCCUCUCUUCUAGCUUUCUUCGCCGCAAUAACCAUCACCAUCGCUUCAGCUUACAUCGAUUUUUUUCCACCAUCAUACACUUCGCUAUUUGAUUUAUAACAUUACCUUUCUUGUUUUUGAAAACUGCUUAGAGUCCCCCAUUUUCUACUAAUCACCAUGCUAACAUGCAUUCUAGAUUGCACCCAUUCGUCUUUGUUAUGACAUUUCUGAAAGACUAUACUAUCGUCUAAUUUGUUCGGCAUUAUGUUGUUCAAAAGGUGAUUCCACAAAUUCACUUUAUUGGAGUUUCUUUUGAGGUUUUUGUUGACUAUUAUGACUUUUGGAUAAGUAAACGACACUUAUAUUCGUAGCUUUAGAGAUGGCUUAAAUAUCAUGUAUUCUCUUAUUUGCAUAUACAAUGUUGUUUCUAGAUUUUCAGAUAAUGUAUAAGAUGUUAAUGAAUAAGGCUAAAUUUUCCUUACUCAAACUAUCUAUGUUUCCCUUAUCCAAUAUGUGAAAGAAGUGUGUUGUAUGUCUUGAAAUUUAAAAGU